GACGAACGCUGGCGGCAUGCCUAACACAUGCAAGUCUAGGGGUAGCAAUACCACUGGCGCACGGGUGAGUAACACGUAGGUUAUCUGCCCCCAUCACAGACAUAACCCCGGGAAACCGGGGCUAAUAUCUGAUGAGGUCGCGAGAUCAAAGCUUCGGCGGAUGGGGAUGAGCCUGCGGCUGAUUAGCUAGUUGGUGAGGUAAUGGCUCACCAAGGCGACGAUCAGUAGCUGGUCUGAGAGGACGAACAGCCACACUGGAACUGAGACACGGUCCAGACUCCUACGGGAGCAGCAGUGAGGAAUAUUGGUCAAUGGGAGCAAUCCUGAACCAGCAAUGCCGCGUGUGGGAUGACAGGGCUUCGCCUUGUAAACCACUGUCGGACGGGACGAAAGGAGGGCCCUCGGGGCCCUCUGGGGACGGUACCGUCAAAGGAAGGGUCGGCUAACUACGUGCCAGCAGCCGCGGUAA
rnacentral:rRNA from 1 species